GAGCAGAAGCUGGUAACGUAGAGUGGAGAGGAGGAGGAGGAAAGCAGCAGAGACUGCCCGGGGGAAGGCAGAGAGUGGGGGCAGGACGGCAGGGGCUGCCCGGGGAAAGGUGGAGGGGCUGCGGCAGGAGGGCAGGGAAGAGGUACAGAGCUUUCAGAUGCUGAGCUUCAACAGAAAGACCUCAUGGAAAAGAAAAGAGACUAACUUGUUUAGCAAAAGUACUCUCUGGAAUUUCCCAAAUCGCUUAUUUAUUGAAGGGAGUCAUUUGUUGGUCAUUGUCAUCACGCGAGGUCCCUUCCAACCUAAACCAUUCAAUGAAGUCUUUUAUCAGUCUUUUAUAGGAUUAGUGACAGUGGGGAAUGUUUGCUUGCUAUGGGAUAAGGGAGCUGUUUCCUAAAUGGAAUGUUCAUUAGUUCUUUAGCACCUGAAAAUGUUGGCAGGCUACUUGAUAAACCUCCUGGAACACAGGGGCCUGUUGAAUUGUUUUCCCAGUGCCUGAACAACUUACAGUGCUGUAAUGGGUUAACCUCUUGUUUCCCUCCAACACAGAAGUGAGGCAAAAGUAACACAGCCAAGGAAAAACCCUCUGGGUUGAGAUCAAGAGGUAAAUACAAAAUGAGAUCCUGCAGUGCACAAUUACUUUAGCCUGUUUCUGUUUGCAGAAAGCAGGAGUCAGCCACCUGCCACCCAUCCCCUCCUGACCCCAACCCCAGAAACCCAAAGCAGCACUUGGCACAGGAGGUCUCUCGUGUUGCAGUCUCAACUUCAAGCCCUGGAAUACUUUGCUUCAGCCAGCAGCAUGGGGUUGGAUACCAACAGCAGAGUCGACUUAACCUGUGACUAAGUGAACUUCAAGUUUUCUGACUCCACAGUAGAACUUGAUAAAGAAAGAUGUGAAUGGAAGCAGGCUCUGACUGCUCUGUGUAACUGAUGAGAAGCUUUCUGAAGGAGUUUUGGCUCAGGCUGGUGUGAAGUGUCUCUGGAUCGAGGUCCUUGUGGUCCCUUCUGACCCUGACUGAUUCUAUGAUUCCAGCAAGCAGCUUUUGACUUAAAAACCCCUGAGGUCACUGCAGCACCUCUCUAUGGAAUAAAAGAAAGGGAUUUUGCUGCACUGCUGAGAA